UACGAAGGGGGCUAGCGUUGCUCGGAAUCACUGGGCGUAAAGCGCACGUAGGCGGCUUCUUAAGUCAGGGGUGAAAUCCUGGAGCUCAACUCCAGAACUGCCUUUGAUACUGAGGAGCUUGAGUCCGGGAGAGGUGAGUGGAACUGCGAGUGUAGAGGUGAAAUUCGUAGAUAUUCGGAAGAACACCAGUGGCGAAGGCGACUCACUGGACAUGUAUUGACGCUGAGGUGCGAAAGCGUGGGGAGCAAACAGG
rnacentral:rRNA from 1 species